CUUUUUACAAUUUUAUCCGCAAUAUAAAAAAUCUACCGGUCAAAACAUCAAAUUUUAGUCAAAUUAUAAUAAAACAUGUAUCUGACUGUGUAUAACUUUAACAAGACACUAGAGUUUAACCCGUGCCAUGCACGGGUUUUUGUUUUUACUUUUUAUAGAUAAAUAUUUAUUUUGUGUAAGUGAUAAUCUAUAUUUUUAAAAUUUAUCGUGCGCGAGUUUUGUUUUUAAUUUUUAUAAAUAAAUGUUUAUUUUGUGUAAGUGAUAAUCUAUAUUUUUAAAAUUUAUCUCUAUAAAAUAUUUUUUUAAUAUGAUAUUUCUAAAAAUAAUAAUUUUCUAAUUUAUAUUGAGUAUUAUACAUUGUUUUGUAAUUCGUUAAAUGUAUCACCGAUAUUUUUAGAAUAUGACCUUAUACCAGCACAAAUAUAUUUUUAUUUUUUAUGGAUCAAAAUUUUAUAAUAAAAUUAUUUUAUAUGCUAUUUAAAAUCUGGUGUUAUAUACUUUAUACUAUUUAACAUUUAUCACAUUGAAUAUACACUGGCUUAUUAUUUAUAAUAGAGUAUAUAUUAAAUAAUAAAAGACAUGAUUUUAGCCACAACAUUUUUGGCUUUAGUUUUUAGAAUAUUUGCUUAUUGUGGUUGCUUUGAAACCUACGAAUAAUCAAUAUACAAUAUUAAAAGGGGAAUAUCCUCAACAUUUAGCAUGUCCACGUCAUCUCAAAAAAUUAGCCAAUAGGAAUACUUUGUACUGCCAUGUCAUUAUCGCUUUUCUAGACUGAAGAGAAAAUAGGCUUUUCGUUCAAUUUUAAUAGUAAUUAACCAUGACCCAUGUGAGGCCCACCUCUCCAACCCUAAUCGUCUUCGACGUAAACGAUGAUCGUGUCUGGCGCUUCCAUUCUCUGCAAUCGCUGUUUCUCCUCUGUAUUUAUCACAACCAGUAUGAAUCAUUAGCCUCUGUUCUUCAAUCCAUUCUUAGUGGUUUCGUUCCACCUCCCGUUGUUACUCCUCCUAUUUAACCUCUAAUGUUACGUCAAACCAAAAUCUACCUCCUUUUAGAGAAGAAGAUCACGCUAUGGCCAUGAAGCCUCCAAAAUCCACCGAAAAGUCUCAUGCACCCUCAAUUUUAAUGACGUCUCACCAGGCCAGUCGAAUUGGAACACCGAUUCCGAUUAAUUCAAUUUCUGGGAGGUGAGAAAUACAGAAAAAGGUUGGAUUCUUAUUGGCUUGGAACUGCUUCUCAUCUAUGAACAAAAAAGGUAUAGUUAGGGGUUGAGAUCUAUGGGUGUUAGAUUCCUUUUUGGCAGCAGUAUUUUCACGCCUUUUAACCAUACACCACAGCAUAGACUACUUGGAUCAAGCCCACAACAUAGACUUAACAGGUUAGUAUCAGAUUUUACUGUGCCUCUCUUUGAUGCAUCCUUUUUAGUUGCUGCAUACUUCUUACUUUGCUUCUGGAUAUCUGUCUAGAUGGUUGUUUAAACUCUGUACCGCAAGAAAAAAAUAUGUUAUGGUUACAAUUUACGACCCAUGGAAGCAUGAGACGGUUCACAUGAAGAGAAGAUGUCUGACAAAGGGUUGGUUUUAAAUUCUGAUGGAGAGUAAGGUAUGUAUCAGUCUAUAUCAAGAUGCUACGUUAUCUGGCUUGGUCGGUUAUGAUUUCAUGAUUUUUUUGGGUUCAUAUUGAAUUGCGGUAAAUGAUGUUUCCUCUGCUGCAGUUGUUCUUCAUUCAAAAAAACUCAUGUGGUAUUGGACCUGUUGAUAAAUCACCUGCCUUUAUGAGCCAGGUAUGAUAUGUGGUUCUCAUGUUAGUUUCAUUGUUUGCAUUAAAUCUCAGCAUCAAGUCUCUUAGGAUUCCAGAGCUUUUUAUUGAAGUUCCUGAAACAGGAAAAAAAAUAGGCUAACUAAAGGAGUCUGAUUGAAUCUCUUUACCUUUCUAGAGAUGCUUUGGUUCUGCAAUAUACAUGAAGUGUUAUUUAAUGACAUUAGUCGUUUUUUGAACAAUUUUGGCUUCAGAGUAUGGUGAUGACUGCUGUCACUUCUUUACUCCGUGAUGGAAUAGGUUGUAGUCCGAGGGAAGACAGUUAGAGACGAGAAAAAGUCAACAACACUCUAUCACAGAGUGGUCGUUCGUGUAGAGAAGGCAACCUAGGCUUCACCUUGGAUCUUAGUCCUGGAAAACUAACCUGAGUCAGAGAGGAGUGGUUGUUGACAUGUCGUUCAAACACAGAUCAACAAAUCAACCAGAACAUAGGCGGAUAAAGGAUCUACGAGGAUACUUUGAGGACGGUUGCCUCAACGGAGUCCUUGCAGUCACAAGUGCCAUUGAGAACUGGGAACUGAAGAGUCCUUUCACUGGCUCCUCUUCACCUCUGAUCUCAGACCCAAAGAUUCAGCAAACUAUUCUAACAGAGGAAGAUGACUUCUUAGUUUCAGCAUGAUGAAGCCCGAGCUCAGUUACAACUUACAACCCGAUGCUUGGAAGGGGCUUAAACCAGUCCUUUUGGCAGUAUAUAUAAAGAGAUCGUAGUUCAAAUAAAAUAUAUAAACAGAUGACUUCUUAGUUUCAUCUGUUUGUUAGGUUAUUUAGAAGAGAGUACAAGAGAGAAAAGGAAACAUGUAGUUUUGUUAGGACUUAUUAGGACUAUUGAAAUCAUAAAUUAUUUGCAAGUCAAACAACAUACGAUUACUCAGGAGUUGAAAUCUCUGGGUUUUAUUACUCUUCAUAUGAUUGUGUUUUUUUUUUUUAAGUUUAUAAUUGCUUCGUUUCUGUAAGGUUUAAUUCGAUGGUUUCUUCUAAACACCGAGAUUGAGUUUAUGAUGCAUUGUGCUUAUUUAUUAGAACAAAAUAAUCGCUAUUUUGAUAAAAUGUGUGAGAAUCAAGCUUAAUGAGAAACAUCAAAUAAAGAUAAUCCAAUCUUUACGAGGUUAGUUAGGUUGAUAACCAAAAUAAACAAUGUACUGAGAAAAAUAUUGCAAUCAACAAUUUUAGAAACUAAAUAUAUUCUAUUUUUCAUCUUUUUAAAUAAACACAAUUUGAGAUUAAAAGAUAAUUGUGCUAAACCAUUGGUAACAGCUUUUAUCCACUAAGAUAAUUAUAGAUCAUAUUUUGUAGAUAAACAUAAAACAUAAUUUGAAUGCAAAAAUUAUAUUUUAACUUUCAGUAUUUUUGGAACAAGUAACAUGAUAGCCAAUUGAAUAAUUGCGGGGCCGGAUCUGUAAUUUUGGGAACUUGAUCAUUUCUAAAAAAAACUUUAAUAUUGUUUUUAAAAUUUGGGGUUUCUUUUUUGCAAAUGUUUUUCAAAUAUUUGAGGACCAAAGCUAAUGUUUUACUGGCUUAGAUCCGAUCAUGCAUAAUUGCAUUGUAACUAACACAAAGAAAUUGUGAAAGAUAAAUUUAUGAAGAUGGUAAAAAAAGAUAAAUUUAUGAAAUCUCACCAUCUAUUGAACAUCUGAACCAUAGAGUUAAGGCUGACAAUGCAUUGAUAUGUCAAAGUUACACGACCAACAACAAUACUCCCAAUAAAAAAAUGUUCCUAAAACACCUCCCUAUAUUUUUGGGUUAAAAAUACAAUCAAUCGCUGUGUUUUGCACUAUAAGCGCAUACCUACCAAGUAAUUUCACAAACUUUUAUUUUUAAAAGAAAAACAAAAAAUUGAAAUAAAUUAUUUUAACACAGAUAAGGUAAAUACGCAGUAUACAAAGAAUAUAUCUCCAAAAUCCAUAAACGAAAAUAAAAGUUGUAUAAGCUUACUUAUAAACACGCAUAUACUAAAAAUACAUUUAUACAAACAAAAUAGUCACCUAGAAUGAAGCUUUCAUAUUAAAAAAUUA